rnacentral:rRNA from 1 species
AGUGAACGCUGGCGGUAGGCCUAACACAUGCAAGUCGAACGGCAGCACAGGAGAGCUUGCUCUCUGGGUGGCGAGUGGCGGACGGGUGAGGAAUACAUCGGAAUCUGCCCAGUCGUGGGGGAUAACGUAGGGAAACUUACGCUAAUACCGCAUACGACCUUCGGGUGAAAGAGGGGGAUCGCAAGACCUCUCGCGAUUGGAUGAGCCGAUGUCGGAUUAGCUAGUUGGCGGGGUAAUGGCCCACCAAGGCGACGAUCCGUAGCUGGUCUGAGAGGAUGAUCAGCCACACUGGAACUGAGACACGGUCCAGACUCCUACGGGAGGCAGCAGUGGGGAAUAUUGGACAAUGGGCGCAAGCCUGAUCCAGCCAUACCGCGUGGGUGAAGAAGGCCUUCGGGUUGUAAAGCCCUUUUGUUGGGAAAGAAAUCUUUCAGGCUAAUACCCUGGGAGGAUGACGGUACCCAAAGAAUAAGCACCGGUUAACUUCGUG